AGCUAGGCCACUCAUUUUAUUUUUAGCUAAUCCUCUCUAAUUCCAUUCCAAAGGCCUAACCAAUUAAGGCCAGUGUCCUAAUGGCCAACGUGCCGCACAAGGAUACACACACAUACCUGGAGAUGCAAAAGUGGAGAAAUGGAAAGAGCUGGGCACAGCCAAAGCUCCUCAAUUUACACUCGCUCGCAGUCACUCACACACACACACACAUUCGCACACAUUAGGCAAAGGUCCAACACAGGUAACACACAACAACAAAAAAAAAAAAGAAAGAAAAGGAAAAAACAUUCACACGUGCGAAAAUGUAACAAUUUACAAAAGGAUAUGCCAAAAGGGACACAACCACACGAACGAUUCGCACUGGAGAUGGCCGGCAGAGGAUUAUCCGAGUCUGUGAUUUUAUCGAGGGAAGAGCCCUAAAGUCACGUCUCAGACAAAUUAGUAACUGAAGAAGGUCCUCGCAUGUCCUGUCACCGGCUGACCCAAUUUUGUGUUCUUGGCGUCAAUCAAUUUAAAAUUGAAAUUUGAGAAAUCUUACUCUCGGGCCUUUGCACACUUAACGUGUGAAUUAUUGGAUACGAGUCAUCCUGGGCAUCAUGGGCAUCCUGGGCAUCAUCUUCCCAGUCUGUCACGGUCACUAAGUCGUGACACUCCACCCAAAAUGCUUCACAUCCCUAGUGCAGAUGCGUUGCCUUUAUCCUUUAUCCUUUUCGGUUGCUUUUUACUUUUAUUUUGCUUUUUACUUUUGUAUGUAAAUGUUUGAACUGUCUGCACGAGUGCCACGAGAAUGAACAACAACAACAGCGGCAAAGGCUAAAGGGGUCAGCCUUUCACACCAACAUAAAAUACACACACAUACACACAGCGAAAUAAGAGGUCCACACAAAAACACGAGUUUGUUCUCCAUUA
rnacentral:sRNA from 1 species